CGAUACGUUUCAUUCAGGAUAAAGCAACGCUGAUGAUUGCAUCGCUUAAACUUGUUAAUUAAUAUCAUCCUUUACAGGUCAGCGGUCACGCCUCUUUCUUUCACUCGGCGCGGCGGUCGCUGGAGCCUGCAGGUCAGGACGCUGCAGCUCAACAAUGGCCCUGCCAACUUUAUCCUCAGAUGAGCUGAUCCAAACAUGACAGAAGGUGGUUUAACUAUAACAGAAGUUGAAGCACAGAAAUCAAGAGGGUGAACACAACACACCAUACACAAUUGUCCAGGUGACCCAAGAAGACUGGAAGUCCACAUUUGAGGGACGAAGCUCCUGUUCCCUGAAGGUAGACAGGGUCGAGGUGUGUGAAGGCAUGAAGGUAGAGGAAGCCAUGAUCUCCUUGUUUUAUUCAUAUUUUGUUUUCAAUCUUGAAUACCAGCCCAAAAACCAGAACUCUCUGACCUUCCUCCAGCGAUGUAUUGCAAAAAUGCCAUCCAAGAUAUCCAUGUCUUUCUUUCCUCAGUGGGAGAGAAAUUGUUUU